rnacentral:rRNA from 1 species
AACGAACGUUGGCGGCGUGGAUUAGGCAUGCAAGUCGAACGCUGCUCGGAGGGGCAACUCUCUGAGCGGAGUGGCGAACGGGUGAGUAGCGCGUGGGAAACCUGCCCUCGAGUUGGGGACAACCUCUCCAACGAGUGGCUAAUACCGAAUGUGGUCGCCUAGGGGCAUCUCCUGGCGACUAAAGGCGGGGACCCGUAAGGGCCUGCCGCUCGAGGA